rnacentral:rRNA from 1 species
AGAGUUUGAUCCUGGCUCAGGAUGAACGCUAGCUACAGGCUUAACACAUGCAAGUCGAGGGGCAGCAUGAUCUUAGCUUGCUAAGAUUGAUGGCGACCGGCGCACGGGUGAGUAACGCGUAUCCAACCUUCCCCUUAGUAGGGCAUAGCCCGUAGAAAUGCGGAUUAAUACCCUAUGUUUUCCAAUGAGGACAUCUGAGCUGGAACAAAGAUUAAUCGCUAAGGGAUGGGGAUGCGUCUGAUUAGGUAGUCGGCGGGGUAACGGCCCACCGAGCCAACGAUCAGUAGGGGUUCUGAGAGGAAGGUCCCCCACAUUGGAACUGAGCCAUGAUCAAACUC